CUCCCAGAUUUGGGAGAAGCAAAAAAAAAAAUCUUCCAAUUUUUUUUGUUGCUUUAACAAAUAUCAAAUUCCCUUUUAUCGGGUCUUUUAUAUAUAUAUGGCAAUUGUGCCAUCAAGUGUUUGUAUUUGGUCAUGUGAGUGCUUAAUAAUAAGAUUGUAAGAAAGAAAUAUGAGUUGGGUUUGUGUCUGUUAAUACCCUAAAGCCAAACAUGUGGCUUUUCAAUUUCUGUAGUGAAAAUAUGUUUGUAUCAUUAUACUGUUUAUUCAAUGAGACUCCCAGC
rnacentral:misc_RNA from 1 species